UCUGGGCAUCCAGAUGAGUGACUCAGAACAAGUAAUAUCCCAGUGGUGCCAAGUGCUGAGAUUUUUCUGGGAUUCCUUGAAUGAUCAGACCCAACACCCGAAACUGAAUCAGGUGGAGUGCUUCAGGUCACGACUGAGGAGGUCUGAGUGUGGCAUCCGUUGACAAGCCUGUGGGUCCCUGGAGUCUUUGGGGGUGAUCCCGAGUAACACUGCAUUGCACCGAGAAUGGCAAAGCUGUUGACUUUCUCUGGUCCCCAGCUGGUCACCACCUGGAGAAGCCUGCUAUGUGUGGCUUAUAAGGACUGGAAAUAAUAUAUGAAACACCUAACCUGGCACCACGUUGGCACCCCAGAAGUGGAAACUGUGGAUGGUGUUACGUGCACACUGAAAGCCAUUGUUAACUUUACGAAUCAAUAUUUAUGUGCGACAGAAAUGGGCUAUGGUAAUGAGAAAGAGAAAGGUUUUAUAAAUUAAAUACAGAAGCCAAAGAUCCGUACAGAAAUCAACCACAGGAUAACGUGAUGUCCUAACGUAAGAAGAUUCUACAGGAAUUCAGCAAAGGGAAAGAUUCCUAUGGACCGGGCUUGGUUGAAGCUACUCGGCCAAGGAUGCUACUUGGCCUUGGAGGGAGUCUGAACACCAGAAUACGAUGAGUAAGAAUGGGUCCUGAUGCGAAGUCUCCCAUGCCCUGCUUAGUGCAAAAAGAGCCCAUCACCUUCUGGCUGGAGAGGGGGAAUUAGGUUUGGUCCAGCAAAGUUGAGGAUGAGGUAACUGGAGAGGGUGAGAGCAGUGGGGAAAAUUAGUGAGGUUGACACCCUGUCACCCAGGGCU